CAGACAUUCAGACUACUUGGGGACUUUGGCCAGUUCUUGAUUCUCAGUUUCCCGACCAUUUUCUGUUCCCCUGAAGUUUUGAAAGGAUACCACCCAAUGGGUUAUCUUAAAGAUGAAAGAGGAAUCAGCCGGAAUUCUCUCUUUCAGACCACUGCUCAUCUCCUCCCUCCAGGGAACACAGAUUCAAUCCCUGGUCCAGGAGGAUCCCACAUGCCAUGGAGCAACCAAGCUGGUAUGCCACAACUGCUGAGUCUGCAUGCCCUAGAGUCUGUGCUUCAAAGCAAGAGAAGCCAUCACAAUGAAAAGCCUCGACACCCCAACUAGAGGGUAGCCCACACUAGAGAAAGCCACCCCCCGCGACCCUGCAGCAACACAGACCCGAUAUCAUGUACAUUUGGAGACGAAACAAAUAUAGACGAACUGAUGAGGGGCUAGAGGCAGACAGAAGUCACAUGGCUUGCCCAAGACACCUAGAAGAAGGAAGGGCUCGGCCUGGAAUUGAGGCUGUCUGCCUCCAAGUCUUCUCUUCGAACCUCUGGCCCAAACUGUCUCUCGAUAAAG
ensembl:lncRNA